rnacentral:lncRNA from 1 species
GCUUCAAAGGAACUGUCAGCAGCCUGCGAGUUUUCCUUCCACAAGGGACAGAGGAGACAUUGAAACAUUCAGUCAACAGUGUUUGCCACUCAAAGAGCUUUGAUACAAGGAACAGGAUAUCAAGAUCAAAAUUCCGCUCAAGCUUGGCAUUCAAAGCGCUCAGACUUGACAAUUCCUGACCGAAUGCCACCAACAUCUCAACUAAAGCCCUCUGGGGGCUGGGACACAAAGCUGUUCACACAGCAAGAUAUGACUUUGAUAAUUCCUCUGGGCUCAUCUUGGUGACUCUAUCUUAAUACAGUGUGUUUCAUUUAAAACAAAAGAAGUCACACACAAGCAUCAAGAUAUUCUGAACCUGAUAGGUACCAUAGACCAGACCGGGAGCAUGAGACUUGCUCACUUUUUCAAUAAGAAUGUCCCCCUCAGAGGCUGCU